rnacentral:lncRNA from 1 species
UGGAUGGUGUCUCCCUCUGGCCAGAUGCACGUGCCUCUGACUUCCUUAGCUCAGGUGCUGGGAUCCCUCAUGAAUCAGGCUGUGUCCCACAGGGGCUGGAGGUGGGAAGCAAGCGCAGGUGGAAGAGCUCCUGGCGUGGCUGACGUCACAGGCUCUACGCAUCCACAUGCAGGCACACUGCGGACACUGAACAUGUUCUUUCCUUCAGAACUGAACCCCGCAAGAGGCACACAUGGAAAACAAAGAUUAGUCACUUUUGCCAUGCCUUUGAUGAUUUCCACCUUUAUCAGAAGUCGCACACUGGGACCCAGGAUAAUUUUUGGCAGGGUGUUUAAAAGAGUUUUAAACCUCCGUGCCCUUUUAUGGUGCGUGCAAUUCCCAUUUCAGCUUCUGGUCGCCUGGAUCUCAAGGUGAUUGCAUUUGUUCUCCUAGAAAGGAUUUCAAGCUUAGGAGACUUAUGCUUCCACUUAACAGAAGAAGAAGACCGGAAAUCCUAUGUAAUAUUGCAAUGCUUUUAUAAACAUGGCUGCCUAGGGACUCAACGCUGUGAAUCUGGGCUACACAAGCAGAAUACUGCUGAAAAUUGAAAUUAUUUCUUUUUAAUCAGUGGGUGUUCAAAAUGUUCAGAUUGGGUAUUCAAUUCAUAAGGAACAAAAAUACAAGCUGUUGGAAUGUCAAAUUACUGGAAGUUGAGAAUAGCCAACUGACUAACUCUAAUGAUUGUUUGGGUUUGCAUUUUAGUUCAGCCCUACUCUUUGACAUGGAGGGAACUUGGAGCCCCAGUCAG